CGCAGCUGCUCGGAACAGACCUCCACCAACAUCACGUGCUGACAGUGUUUUCCUGAGCUACUGAAUAAAGGAAAUCAACAUUCCCGGUAAAAAGUCCAGCAGCUGUCCAGGCUUCGGGAGCUGUGGCCAGCACCACUUCUGAUCCCUGAAAUUGCUUUCAGAGGGGCCAGCAGUAGGGCCAGGCACCAGCCUCAGGGUCUCCUCUGGAUGUCAAGUGGGGCACACUACUGCUACUGAGGAGGCAGAGGACAGACCGUUCAUGCUUAGACCCCCCUCCCCACUACAUCAGGACACUGUCACCUUCCAGACCACACAACUGAGAAACAGCCACAUUAUAACUAGACUCCACUGUCUUCAGCAGGCCUAUCCUGGAGAUACUGAGAAUCACAUGAAUUUUUUGGUUUCCCAGUGAAUAUAAUCCAUGCUGACACUCUACUGCAGCUUAUUAAACAUUCAAUAGCAUUAUAUCUAAAA
rnacentral:lncRNA from 10 species